AGGUUUAUUAGGUAUACAUUUGAUUUUUUAGAUACUGCCAAAGUUUGUUCAAAGUGCUUCUGGUUUUUACAGUAUAUUUUUCUCUGGUUCUUUACUCUGCUCAUCCAUUUCUGCUACUGACACCCUUGCUAAUGAGGUCAUUACACUUCAUCUAUGCGAUUUUUAAGUUUAAAAUUUCAGUUGGGUUCUUUGUACAUUCUAUUAAUUACUAAGACUUUGCACUUUUAGUUUUUCUUUCUACAAAAAGAUUUAUUUAUUUUUAUUUUAUCUGUAUGACUGUUUUGCCUGCAUAUAUGUAUAUUCAACACAUGCAUGCAGUGCCCACAGAGGCAAGAAGAGGACGUCAGAUUUCUUGGAACUGAGAUACAGUCUGUUUUGAGCUCUUAGUGGGUGCUGGUAAUCAAACCUGAGUCCUGUGGAAGAACACUGAGUACUGUUAACUACUGCGCCAUCUCUCCUGCCCCAAGUUUUACUUUCUUUAAAAGUGAGUUUUUUAUUGCUUAGUGAAGCAUUUUUAUGAUGGUUCAUUUGACAGAUAAUGCUAAUAUGUAUCUUCAGUGUAGAUUCUGCUGUUUUUUGGAUGGUAUGUGAUUUUCUGUUGACUUCUGCACAUGUUCAUAUUGUUUGUCUCAGUCUAUUUAAACUGUGUUGUAGCUGGACGCCUGUGGCACCACCAUAUCAGAGGAAAGAGGAGGGUAUUACUACAUGAGUGAAUUUUGCAGCUACACCUUCAUCCAUCCCAUUUCCACGAAUCCCUGAAUCUCCAGGGAAACUUCAUGUGAUUUCUGGUCAAGAUUGGAAUUUGGGUUCUGAGCAGGACUUCAUCGUUGCCUUCGGCCUGGGAAGGUCAGUCAGCAGACCCGCAGGUGGCAUUCUGAAGCUCAAGACAGUUCCCAUUUCUGGGGGAACACUGAGCAGGCCCAUCAUGAGCAUGUCAGGGCCAGGACACAGCCUCCACUCGAGGAGGAGAGGAAACCUUGCAGCCAAGGACAGCCUGAGCUGCUACAGACCAUGGUGAUCCAGGCCUGGCUAUGUUCAUCUACAGUUUCCAGACAGCAGGAGAGCAGAGUCCCAUGGCUGCCUUAUACAUCUCGACACAACCACUUCUGAGAAUAUUCAGUUGCAUGCUUGGCACUCUUGGCAGGUACAAUGAAUGUUGUAUUACAUUUGGGGACACAAUUUCAUGUGUUCACAGAGUUUAACCCUGCCCUUCUUACUACAGAGUGAGUGUCCUCACAGGCACCAUGUUGAAUAUACUGUGGGUUAUUCACUCUCAUGCAUGUUAUUAACAUCAUACUUCUUAUCCCAGUGAGUCCUUGAAGCCUACUAAAGAAUGCUUACAGGGAUACAGCAGUGAGUCGAAGGAAUAGAGCCUACCACAAAGCUUAUUCAAGGAACCCUGUCACACAAAGAAAUAAAAUAUCCGAAUUCUCUUCAAAGAAUUCAUCUUAUGAGUGGACAUGAAUGUUUCCCAAGCUACAGUUUUCUGUACACUCUGCCUCUUUCUUUCAUGGAGGUGUCUAGAACAGUGAGUACCACCUAGAAUUAGGUGGAGGGCCCCCAAUUCUUACUUGCAAGAGAAGAUACACAUCCAGGCCUAGAAAUAUGCAUAUUGUAAGGUUUUGGUCCUUAUUUACAUCCUUUAAUUACGUCAUCAGCCUUCGCUGGCUUCCCAGCCUAAAAAGCGGUUGAGCCCUCUGUGGGCUCUCUCUGUCCCCUCUCCUUUGCGCUCCUUCCCCCCGUCGGUCCCCCUCUCUCCC